ensembl:lncRNA
GUCGACUACAGGCAUUUGUAUGCUGAUGUGUCCGUACUGGAAUAUGGAUGUGUCUCGCCAUCAGUCGUUAAGAAACACGAAUACGAUGCGGUCACUAUGAACGCGAACCGUGCUUUUAGAGUAAGUACAACUUCAUCCCUAUAACUAGUAUAGUAGCGUUAAUGAAUCGUAAUAAUGACUCGUUCUGUAUAGCUAGUCUAGCUAGCUGGGUUAGCGUAUCGCUACUGGGCUGAAGACCAAAUGACGCCAUGUUGAUAAAUAGUGCACUACGUAGGGUGCUUAAACCAUGAUCUCAGACCCUAUGUAGAGCUCUUACGUAGGGACUAAAGAGCUAUUCGGGAUCCAGCCCACUUCCUGGACAGUCUUCAUGAAAUAUUGAUAAUACAGUGAUUUCUAAGGCAUGCUAAGUCGUACCCCGGUCUCGGUGGUGCCUUGUGUUUUGGAGAAACAGUAAAUGAUGUGGACCGCCAGCAUCCGACCAGUCAGGACGAGGACAAGGACGAGCAGGUGUCUCAACUUCCUGUCAAUUCAGAAAGCUCCACGUCUUGCAUGUUUCUGGCUUCCUAGCCUUGUUUCAGAAGUUUAUUUCGGACGACCAAAGAGCUACUGCAACUCGCACACACGGUGUCCCAGUUCACCUACACACUAAAACUACACACUAAAAGUAUGCACUGUUUGUAGCAAAAAGAGUACUCAAGACAUACUAACACGUCAUGUAACGGAAGAGAACGUUGUUGCUCGGUCUCUUCUUCAUCUGACCCUACAAGAUGAACACAGUACUCUUUUUACACAACAUCCAGCUAUUAAUCCGUUAAUAUGUCACGAUAAAAAACUUUGGUUAGUGCUUAACCUUUUACGUUCUUUACGGUCACUGAAACACUGAAGAGGCGUCACCGAAGUUACACUCGUCCGCCAUGUUUACAGGUUGAGUUCGACGAUGCAAACCGUCACAAAACUCCUCCUCCUCCCAUGCUCGCGCAAGGAGUCAUGGGCAACAUUAGCUGAAAAAGUGUCCACGGAUCCAUGGAAAUUGUAGACCAUCCGGGUACCUUCGGGACGCUCAUUUCAACAUACGACGAUUCCGGACACGCUAAUUUUAAUCCAGUACGGACAAUUUGGAAACGCCAGUCAGUCUACAACGCAUGUGUUUGGAUUGGCGGAGGAAACCCCCGAAGCACUGAGAGAACAUGCAAACUCCACACACAGGGUGGAGUCGGGAUUCGAGCCCCCGACACCUCCCACCAUGGAAAAGUUCCCCCAUUUCUCCAAAAUCGGGGAAUUUUGAGCUUUUUGUUCCAUUUUUUUUGGUUCUUAUUACCGGUCAAAAGUUUGUAGACGCUCGACUGAAACGUGUCUCACGAUUUUGAUCCGAAGGUGUGUGAUUAAGUGUGUCGAAAUCGGUGUUGUAGACAAAAUAUAAUCGUGCCGACGUGUUCAUUUCUCUCAUUAGAAAGCUAACAUUUUAUUCACAAAAAUAUAUAUUUUUGAAAAGUAUGGAGGGAAAUAAUCCGAAAAGCGGCCGAUGAGAGUCCGGCGUCGGUGGGAACUCCUUUAAUACUGUUUAAAAAUCAUCUCAGGGAAAUUCCUCAAGAAAUCGGUCGAGAAGACGCCGAGAACACAUUCCUGGAAAUUCUCAGCAAAAAACGUGUCUACUUUGAAGAUGCUAAAAUACUCAAUUAUUUUUGAUUUAUUUUGGAUUUUUUGAACAUAAUUCCCCAUAGUUCCACUUGUGUUACUCCAGAGUUUCGAUGACUUUAUUAUUAUUAUUCUAAAAUAAAU